rnacentral:rRNA from 1 species
UACGUAGGGUGCGAGCGUUGUCCGGAAUUAUUGGGCGUAAAGGGCUCGUAGGCGGUUUGUCGCGUCGGGAGUGAAAACCAGGUGCUUAACACCUGGCUUGCUUUCGAUACGGGCAGACUAGAGGUAAGCAGGGGAGAACGGAAUUCCUGGUGUAGCGGUGAAAUGCGCAGAUAUCAGGAGGAACACCGGUGGCGAAGGCGGUUCUCUGGGCAUGACCUGACGCUGAGGAGCGAAAGUGUGGGGAGCGAACAGG